rfam:Capsicum annuum cultivar Zunla-1 chromosome 12, whole genome shotgun sequence
UAGAGCCCAGUACAACGGAGAGUUGUAUGCUGCGUUCAGGAAGAAUGAAUCACUCCCGAAAGGGAAUCUAUUAAUUCUCUCCCAAUUGAUUGGACAAUAGGUGCAAUCACUUACUUCAC